rnacentral:rRNA from 1 species
AACAGACGCUGGCGGCGUGCCUAACACAUGCAAGUCGUACGAGAAAGUUGGCUUCGGCCAAUGAGUAAAGUGGCGCACGGGUGAGUAACGCGUGGAUAAUCUGCCCUUCAGCGGGGAAUAACCCAUCGAAAGGUGGGCUAAUACCCCAUAACACUGUUUUACAACUGUCAAACAGUCAAAGAGAGCCUCUGCUUGCAAGCGUUUACUGAAGGUUGAGUCCGCGUACCAUUAGAUAGUUGGUAGGGUAAUGGCCUACCAAGGCGACGAUGGUUAGCUGGUCUGAGAGGAUGAUCAGCCACACUGGAACUGAGACACGGUCCAGACUCCUACGGGAGGCAGCAGUGAGGAAUCUUGCGCAAUGGGGGAAACCCUGACGCAGCAACGCCGCGUGAGUGAGGAAGGUCUUCGGGUCGUAAAGCUCUGUCAGGCGGGAAGAAAUGCAUGGAGGUGAACAGCCGCCAUGCUUGACGGUACCGCCAGAGGAAGCACCGGCUAACUCCGUGCCAGCCGCCGCGGUAAGAC